rnacentral:lncRNA from 1 species
AGGACAAAAUGAAUUAUAGAUGAAAGCUUAAAGGAAACUAUCGCAUAUUGGACCAGAAAGAGGCAAACAAAGACUGCUACAAGAUGAAUAGGAUGGACGACAGGAAUUCAUGGGGAGAAUCGGGAUUGAAAAAAGUAACACUAGCACAAGAGAAAGAGAAGACAAUAGUAGUAAACUAAAGAUAGUAAAAGAGAUUAGAUAACUGUGGUAAUACU